UGAUAAGAGUUUAAAUAAAAGUACGUCAGUAUAGUAAGUAGGUAGCCGGUCCGGAUAUCGCGAAUACAUUAUAUACCUAUAUUAUGUAGGUGGGUAUAGGCCAUUAUGAAACGGCACCCACAGCCUGCAGCGGCGUAAAAUAUUUUUUUCAGUAUCCGGGCGCGACCCGUUCAGUGCGCCCGCGUCAUCCCGCCAGCCGUGCGUAGAUAACGGGACGAGGCGGCGCCCGCGCAUCCACGCCCGGAUACCGAGCACCCUACGAACAGCUAGCAACAACCAACAUUUAACACCAGUGGAUACUAGUGAUACAUGUAUAUGUAUAGUGUUCGUUUCAUUUUGUAAUGAAGGCAGCGUUGACUAAAAAAGAGAGGGGAAACUUAGGCAGUAGACCAACCGGAAAAGAAAAAACAGCAAAAGUUAUGAUGUUGACGUGAUGAUCUACUGCGUGCAGCCUGCAGCCAAGCAGUCUGGAACAUCGAGCCUUUGCUAUGCGUGAAUACCUAAGAAGUCACGAAGGGGUGGUCUCAGCGUGUUCCAUAUGAAGCUGGCUGCAUAACGGAACGAGUGGCGAAACAAAGCGGUUUUGUGCUUCGGUGUGACCAUAAGAUAAGUGGACGCUCUAGUAUUAAUUGUGUGAUAGUC